rnacentral:rRNA from 1 species
AUUGAACGCUGGCGGCAGGCCUAACACAUGCAAGUCGAACGAGUGGCGGACGGGUGAGUAAUGUCUGGGAAACUGCCUGAUGGAGGGGGAUAACUACUGGAAACGGUAGCUAAUCCCGCAUACCAUCCGAUGUACCCAGAUGGGAUUAGCUAUUGGGGGGGGUAACGGCUCACCAAGGCGACGAUCCCUAGCUGGUCUGAGAGGAUGACCAGCCACACUGGAACUGAGACAAGGUCCAGACUCCUACGGUAGGCAGCAGUGGUGAAUAUUGCACAAUGGGCGCAAGCCUGAUGCAGCCAUGCCGCGUGUAUGAAGAAGGCCUUCGGGUUGUAAAGUACUGUCAGCGGGGAGGCGUUACCCGCAGAAGAAGCACCGGCUAACUCCGUGCCAGCAGCCGCGGUAAUAC